rnacentral:rRNA from 1 species
GUCCGUUUGGAACUCUCGUUCUUGGCACCGCACCUGCACCGUGAGAGUGCUAGAAGCUGUCGGUACCUCGCGUACUUGUACACGGUUCUUCGUAGGUAUUAGGUAUCGUAUCGUACCUGGAACCAGCUUGUCCACCACCCGCUGCCUCCUCCUGUUGUCAGUGGUGCCAGUAGCAAGCGCGCAUGUGGCCGCGCGGCGAGUACAAGGUCUGGGCUGUGGCACGACAAGCCGGACCGGACGCUCGCGCCGCGGCUGCCUCGUGCGCUUGUGCGGCCGGACCUCCUACCGCCGGCCGACAAGCCGGCGGGUGCCGGUUCGAGCGGGCCCGGUCAGUGGAGGGCUCCACGCUUUGCAAAAAGAAAAAGAAAAGAGUGGGAGGUGUCCUUGUCUUUCGAUGGGUUAGGAGUGGGGGCUGUCUCUGCCGUCGCCGCCGCGCGCAGCUCCACGUCACGUCGGGGAGAGGGGAGAGAGAGAGGGGGAGACAUUAGAAAAGAGAUAGAGCGAUUUCGCCGCCGGCCGCCCAGCGCUAUCCACUCGCUGCCACCGCGCGCAGCUCCACCCUCGAUCGUGGCUCGCUAGAGGACCAUCGUGGUUCGGCCGGUUCUAUUGUUCGUGUCGUCGGGGGAAAGAGAGGGAGUUUUUAGUCUCACUCGUACCAAGUAGGUAAACUAACACAAGGGUCGACUCCGACGACCCAGUGGACGGCCUUGUCGCGGACCUUUUUACCGCAGGUGGGAAGAGGGCUGGAAUAACGGCGGACAAAGUGCGUGGCGGCGGAAGGAGGAGGCUUGGGGUAGUGUUGGGAAGGCGAUAGUGGUAGGUGAAAAGGCGUCGGAGGAGCGGAGUCGAAGGAGGGGUAGUUGGAGAGGAUGAGGUGCGCGGGAGCAAUGGUACCGGAGACGUCGAUAGGGGCGGGCGGCCCUAGAGGAGUACGAGCCGUAACUCUGGUCGACACUGCUGUGGCGGCGGCGACACCAAUCUCCGCUGCCCCUCUAGGAAUCGGUUCGCUAAAGAAGGGUUAGUCUAAACGAACACUUUACCCCGCCCCAGCGAGGAUUCUACCGGCUUCUUCGAGUGCGCGAACGUUAGCUAGUCCAACAAGUCUUUCGUGAGCUACUACGUUUACACAGUCUCUCACUAGAAAGACGACACCGGCACUGGUAACCUGGUCCUGAAUCAGAUACGGAAUCUCAACCACAAGUGUUUCGAGCCUUUUAUCGUUUUCAUAAACCGAACGGAUAACAACCUCAAGUGGUAUACCUCCGUGUACGUAAUCAAAGGUCCGACCACUUGUUCCUGGAAUUAAUGGGUAAAAAUCGAGAAGAUUAAAGUCCUCCUGUGUUAGAAGAACAAGAGCGAGUCUUGGAACCACUCAUACAAGUUGACCCCUGAUGAUAUCUACUACGUUAACCACUCCGUAUACUGUUCCGUCGUUCUACCGACCCAGAACUAUAGGCCUUUCCACCACCAGGACGAGAACUUCUCGAACGGGAUCUUCCACUAGGUUUAAGAUAAUUAAAGUGUCAAGGCUACGCUGUUGUGUUUCUAACGUUAAAGAGAAUACGACCAGACUUCUGAGUUCAAGCUAACUGAUAACUUAGGUCUUUAGACACGUGUCUACUAUAGGGGUAAAGAAGGCGUUGUCUUCUUCUGUCUGUUGAUUCCCGCUUGUAACGGCGGAGAAAGGUCUCCUAACGACAAGACGUAAACCUCCUAUCUACGGUCGCUCGUCAACUUACCCGUAACUUCUACUUUGGAAGAUAAUUUUUGAAACAACAAAGUCCACCACAACGAAGAUUGGUCAUACAAUCCUGGGCGAACUUAGUAUAACGACUCUUCUUACCGGAUGUCGAGCAUAGGGGAGGGGGUUCAGAUACAUGGCUGUUACCACAGUACUAACGAACCUGACCUUAGCUCGUGAAACAACGUCCAUCUAAACUUCUAGGUGGAGGGCGACUACUCGGACUACUAUACGUCAUACUGAACGCAGGUUCUACCGGUGAACCGCUCCUUAUAAGUCUUCCUUCUUCACAAAGUGCUAGUGACUUCUGCCGAUCCUAGGUAGGUAGUGAAUGUAGGUACUGUGUCUCGAGAGAGGUGUUGAUCAGACACAACUAUAAGACCUAGUUUUAUGUUAACGUGGAGUCUUCCUUGACGUAUAGUUGUACAGUGUUCCUUCUUCUUGGUAGAUCUAUCUUCCGUGGGUUUGGAACCCGUUGAACAAUUCAGGAUGAAUGUACGUGUACCUUCAAACUCUUUAUCUUGCGAAUGGACUACUAGGACGUCCUAACGUAACGGACGAUAGCCAGACUUCGAAGAACGUAGAACUAAGUAUAAGACGAUCUUUAUAAGAACUACUUUCACGAGUCCGAGAUUUAUUUUUCAUUCGUAACGCUCUGUACUUUCCCACCUUCAUGUCGUCGUAGGAACGGUUGAACCUAAAAAUCGACAGGAUUACUCAGUGUAGCAAGUACUACUUUCACGAUAAAAAGAAGUCGCAAAAAAAAAAUGUCCUGCAUAAACUUUCAGGACACCUGUGACAUGGUUUUCCGUUGACUUUGUUAGUUGUUACUUACUUGAUGUUGCACUUAUGUCAGGUCACCUAUGACAUGGUUUUCCGUUGACUUUGUUGUUGUUACUUACUUAAUGUUGCGCCUAUGUGGCAACACAAAUGCACAGUACGAAAAAAAUGUCCUGAUAAAUUUUAUCCUGUGG